rnacentral:rRNA from 1 species
GAUGAACGCUGGCGGCGUGCCUAAUACAUGCAAGUCGAACGAACGGACCAGAAGCUUGCUCCUCUGAUGUUAGCGGCGGACGGGUGAGUAACACGUGGAUAACCUACCUAUAAGACUGGGAUAACUUCGCGAAACCGUAGCUAAUAACGGAUGAUAUUUUGAACCUCAUUGUUCAAACGUGAAAUACGGUCUUUCUGACAGUUAUAGACGGACCCGCGCUGCAUCAGCUAGUUGUUAAGGUAACGGCUUACCAAGGCAGCGAGGCAUACCCGACCCGAGAGGGUGAUCGGACACACUGGAACGGAGACACGGUCCAGACUCCUACGGGAGGCCGCAGUAGGGAAUCUUCCGCAAAGGGCGAAAGCCGGACGGAGCAACGCCGGGUGAGUGAUGAAGGUCCUCGGAUCGUAGAACUCUGUUAGUAGGGAAGAACAUAUGUGUAAGUAACUGGGAAGAUCUUGACGGUACCUAGACAGAAAGCCACGGCUAACUACGUG